CAGUAGCCACGGUAAUACGGAGGGUGCAAGCGUUAUCCGGAUUUAUUGGGUUUAAAGGGUCCGUAGGCGGAUCUGUAAGUCAGUGGUGAAAUCUCACAGCUUAACUGUGAAACUGCCAUUGAUACUGCAGGUCUUGAGUAAAUUUGAAGUGGCUGGAAUAAGUAGUGUAGCGGUGAAAUGCAUAGAUAUUACUUAGAACACCAAUUGCGAAGGCAGGUCACUAAGAUUUAACUGACGCUGAUGGACGAAAGCGUGGGGAGCGAACAGGAUUAGAUACCCGGGUAGUCCCUGUCUCUUAUAA
rnacentral:rRNA from 1 species